rnacentral:misc_RNA from 1 species
AACGCACCUUGCGCCCUUUGGUAUUCCGAAGGGCACGCCCGUUUGAGUGUCAUUGUAAUCUCACCUCCACGGUUUCUCAUCGUGGUCGUGGAUCUGGACGUUGUCGGCUCGUCGACCCGUCUGAAAUGUAUGAGCGUACCCUGCCGUGCAGCGUAUCUGGUGUGAUAAGCAUCUUCACCGGAGUAAUGCCUCCUUUGGCGCGUCUGUGGUGUGGGCUCUGUGCUUCCAACUGUCCUCACAGGACAAUCUUUGACGAUUUGACCUCAGAUCGGGCGGGACUACCCGCUGAACUUAA